rnacentral:rRNA from 1 species
UGAAUAAGCACCGGCUAACUCCGUGCCAGCAGCCGCGGUAAUACGGGGGGUGCAAGCGUUACUCGGAAUCACUGGGCGUAAAGAGCAUGUAGGCGGGUGAAUAAGUUGGAAGUGAAAUCCUAUAGCUUAACUAUAGAACUGCUUCCAAAACUGUUCACCUAGAGUAUGGGAGAGGUAGAUGGAAUUUCUGGUGUAGGGGUAAAAUCCGUAGAGAUCAGAAGGAAUACCGAUUGCGAAGGCGAUCUACUGGAACAUUACUGACGCUCAGAUGCGAAAGCGUGGGGAGCAAACAGGAUUAGAUACCCUGGUAGUCCACGCCCUAAACGAUGUACACUAGUUGUUGCUAUACUAGAUAUGGCAGUAAUGCAGUUAACACUUUAAGUGUACCGCCUGGGGAGUACGGUCGCAAGAUUAAAACUCAAAGGAAUAGACGGGGACCCGCACAAGCGGUGGAGCAUGUGGUUUAAUUCGACGAUACGCGAAAAACCUUACCUGGCCUUGACAUAGUAGGAAUCUUUAAGAGAUUAGAGAGUGCUAGCUUGCUAGAACCUACAUACAGGUGCUGCACGGCUGUCGUCAGC